rnacentral:rRNA from 1 species
CCUACGGGGUGCAGCAGUGGGGAAUAUUGGACAAUGGGCGAAAGCCUGAUCCAGCCAUGCCGCGUGUGUGAAGAAGGCCUUCGGGUUGUAAAGCACUUUCAGUGGGGAAGAAAGCCUUGGGGCUAAUACCCUCGAGGAAGGACAUCACCCACAGAAGAAGCACCGGCUAACUCCGUGCCAGCAGCCGCGGUAAUACGGAGGGUGCGAGCGUUAAUCGGAAUUACUGGGCGUAAAGCGCGCGUAGGCGGUCUGAUAAGCCGGUUGUGAAAGCCCCGGGCUCAACCUGGGAACGGCAUCCGGAACUGUCAGGCUAGAGUGCGGAGAGGAAGGUAGAAUUCCCGGUGUAGCGGUGAAAUGCGUAGAGAUCGGGAGGAAUACCAGUGGCGAAGGCGGCCUUCUGGACUGACACUGACGCUGAGGUGCGAAAGCGUGGGUAGCAAACAGGAUUAGAUACCCCAGUAGUC